rnacentral:rRNA from 1 species
ACGUAGGGAGCAAGCGUUGUCAGGAAUUACAGGGCGUAAAGGGCGCGUAGGUGGGAUAUUAAGUUAGGUGUGAAAACUCCGGGCUCAACUUGGAGACUGCACUUAAAACUGGUAUUCUUGAGGACAGGAGAGGAAAGUGGAAUUCCUAGAGUAGCGGUGAAAUGCGUAGAUAUUAGGAGGAUCACCAGUGGCGAAGGCGACUUUCUGGACUGUAACUGACGCUGAGGCGCGAAAGCGUGGGGAGUGAACUG